AUUGAACGCUGGCGGCAGGCCUAACACAUGCAAGUCGAGCGGAUGAAUGGAGCUUGCUCCUGGAUUCAGCGGCGGACGGGUGAGUAAUGCCUAGGAAUCUGCCUGGUAGUGGGGGAUAACGUCCGGAAACGGGCGCUAAUACCGCAUACGUCCUGAGGGAGAAAGUGGGGGAUCUUCGGACCUCACGCUAUCAGAUGAGCCUAGGUCGGAUUAGCUAGUUGGUGGGGUAAAGGCCUACCAAGGCGACGAUCCGUAACUGGUCUGAGAGGAUGAUCAGUCACACUGGAACUGAGACACGGUCCAGACUCCUACGGGAGGCAGCAGUGGGGAAUAUUGGACAAUGGGCGAAAGCCUGAUCCAGCCAUGCCGCGUGUGUGAAGAAGGUCUUCGGAUUGUAAAGCACUUUAAGUUGGGAGGAAGGGAAGUAAGUUAAUCCCUUGCUGUUUUGACGUUACCAACAGAAUAAGCACCGGCUAACUUCGUG
rnacentral:rRNA from 1 species